rnacentral:lncRNA from 1 species
AGGUGGUGAGUCCUCCAAUAAAGGCAAGGAAAUUGCAUCCGAGGACCAGUAGACAGAGUGCUUCGAAAGUCUGCAUUCUAGACAUUGUGAGUAAACUUAUUAUCGUCUUAAUUAUCUAGAGUAGUUUUAUACAACUAUGUGAUUUUAUGAAAAAUGGGUUUAAAUGGUAAAUUGUUAUGUUUUAAGGGAAAUUGUGAUUUUAUAAAAUGAUUUUAUAAAUUUUCUGAAAAAUCGAAUAUUGGUUUUGAAAAUAGAGUAAUUGGAGACUGCUAGUUUGUGUUGCAAAUUUAUGGUUCUGAAUUGAAUGGCUUAUGACAAUAAAUGAGCAUGAAUGGCUAAACUGAUUUUGGUGUUAUAAUUAUUUAUACUGUGUAUUCAGCCUUGAGAGGCUAGGUUGUGAUAAAUUGCCAUGACAUGCUAGAAUGAAUUUUAUUGAUUGGUGGAUUAUAUAUUAAUUAUUUACUGCAGAGGGGGUUCCGUGGACCAGCCUAUUAGAGGGGCACGGUAAACUCCAUUAUAUUAUUACCUCGAACGGAGAGGCGCGUAGGGUAUCUCCUGGGGUAUAGCUUAGGGUUCACUUCACGCCAAACCACCACGUGAAGGGGAACUCAGCCAACGCCAAGGAACGGCUGUAUUUUUUCAAACAAAAUAUAUUUUAAGUUUACACAAAAUUUUAACAGCCUUUGGCGGACUCGGUUAGAUGCCCUGCGCAAGGUAUCACCGAGUAUGAGUUUUUGGCACAAGCCAAAUUUUAAGAAAUUCAUAAGCCAAGUUGAUUACUCGAUUUUUAUGGAUUGAUUUUAUUUGGUUGAAAUGAGUUGAAUGGUAAUGAAAUUACAGUAUGAUGAUUUAUUUUAAUUGUCUCCAUUUACUCGACUUUAGAUAGUUUAGAUGGUAUCUGUUUACUCACUGGGAUUUUAUAAUCUCACCACCCUCAUUUCCUCACAUUUCAGGCUCAGGGAAUUCCGUAGUUAGCUGACUUGAACAAGGACCUUCAUUUGGACUCGAAUCGGUAAAAGCUGUAGGUUUCCAGCUUCCGAUGCAUUUUGGAUAGAUAUGGGCCCACGUGUCACUGUAAAAGAAAUUUUAUGCUUUGGUUAUUUGCUUUAUAGUAUAUAUGAAUAUAAUUAUCUUUUACGUUAUAAGAAUUAUGUAACGAUAGUUUUAUGAAAAUUAUUUUACAAGAAAAUAGUUUAUUUUAUUGAAUAUUUUUAUAAUAUUCAAAUGGUCAAAUUUUCACUUCAAAUGAACGUUUUAGAUACUUAAUUUUUUUUUUCUCAUUAAGUAUAUAUUUUCGGCUUACCUACUACUUUUUUAGCAAGUUUUGAGAUUUUUGACCAAAAAUGACGAAAAUGCCCCUGUGAGCCAAAAAAAAAAUAUAUGUUAUGUUAUGAUUUGGAAAUGAUUUGUAAUCCUUCGUAUUUUGAUUAUUUGAUAACUAUUGCUCACCAGGGAAGUGCGAAAGCUGAUACGAGAGCCUUGCGAGGUUUCGAUCGACAUUCGGGGUGAAGAAUGUUUGUCGAGGCUUCGCGGCGGUUGUCACGGGCUCGAUGGGGAGUUCCGGGUCGUGACAUUAUCUAUACUCUGUGACUCAAAUUGAAUUCCUACUCUCAAAAAAUGAAAUUUGUGGAUCUGAGUUACUUUAUUUUGUAUUUUGGUCAAACAAUUUGGUAAAAGUCGUAAACUCCAUAAGUGGUAACUAAAAUUGAGAACUGUUAAUUGCUUCAAGUCUUAUCAUCUAAAAGAUGAGAUUACUUGAUGCAUAAAUAAAAGAGAAAAUUGUGAGAAAUGGUCAACCUUUUAAGGCCAUUUCCAAAAUAACCCUAAUAUAAAGUUAAUUAUUUUUAUCUAAUUUUUGGCAUGACUUCCAAAAAUGCCUUUGAAGCCAUUUGAGAAAAAAUAAACCAUAUAUCACAAUUUUCCCUCCUGAUUUCUUUCUCCCGCACUCAUCUGUUGUGCUCUCGAUUUUUCUCUCUUGCCAUCCAACUCUCUUUAAUUUUGGCACCAGCGCCAUCUCUCUCUGUCUAUUUCUCGUCAUAUCGUCGUUGAUCUAUAAAUCAAAGAGUAAAAAUGACAUCAAUGUAUGUUCUUGGGUUUAUUGUUUUAUAGAAUCCCAAAGUUAAUGAGUUGAAGUUAUAAGUAAAAUUUGUAAAUUAGAACACUACUUAGAGUUGUUACACGCCAUAGCUUCAUGUAACAACUCUAAUGCACUUAGCGUGUAACAAAUCUAUUGAAUAUAGCAUGUAACUUGAUCUUUAUCUUUGUAUUUCAAUAGGACAUAAGCUCUUGGAGUAUUGUAUUUCACUAAGACAUAAACUCUUGGAGUUAAGUACCUGAAAUAUGGCUUGUAACAACCUUUAUUUCAACAUGGCGUUUAAUAACUUUUUUUAACAUGGCAUGCGACAACAAAAUUUUUUGAAUAUGGUGUGUAACUUGGUCCCUAUCUUUGUAUUUCAUUAGAAUAUAAAGGCUUAGAGUUAAGCACUUUAAACAUAACAUGUAACAACUUUAUUUCAACAUGGCAUGUAAUUUGGUCUUUAUCUUUUUAUUUCACUAGGAUAUAAACUCUUAGAGUUAAACACCUUGAACAUGGCGUGUAACAACUUUAUUCUUCAACAUGACGUGUAAUAAUAUUUUUUUGAACAUGGCAUGUAACAACAUUAUUUUUUGAACAUGACGUGUAACUUGGUUUCUAUUUUUGUAUUUUAUUAAGAUAUAAACUCUUGGAGUUAAACACCUUAAAUAUGACAUGUAACAACAUUUUUUCCAACACAUGUGCUUGAAUAUGAGGAGGUUUUGUUAAGGAUAAUUUUGUCUAAAAAUUUUUUCUCUUGGCUAAAAAUAGUUAAAAUUAAAAAGAGAGUUAUUUUCGAAAAUACCUUAACUUUGAGGACUAAAAAAGUCAUCCCUAAAUAAGAUAGAAGAGUCAAACUAAUAAACUAAUUGACAUAUUAAAUGAGAGAAAAGUUUUUGAGACUAGUACUAUUUUGGUUUUAGUAUUUUCAUGUUUUUAGAAUUCUACCAUAUUAUAUAUAAUUUUUCUUUGUGUCACCAGAUGUUACUUUCGAUCUGAUCUGACAAUGUUUGGCCGUAAUGGUCACUAAAAAUGGUAUGAAUAGGAUUCUAGUUGUUAUGUUGGCCACUAAACCUUCGUUAUAUUUCAAUGGAGGUGGGCUUGUAUUUUGACAACGAUGAAUCUUGAAAUACCCCAUACUUUGAUAUAGUGAUAAAUAAAGUUGAUCGAAUGCAAAUUGAGGUCAAUUAAAAUGUUUAAAAGUGAUAAAAGAUGAAAGGAGUAGUUUAGGAUAAAAUAUUUCGCAAGUGAGAAAAUAACAAUAAAAUAAUAAUAAUUUUAUCAUAGGAGAAUUUGUGAGAUAAAAGACGAUUCAGAAGUCAAGUGAGGCAUAAUAAGGUAUUUCAAGUACCAAGGAGACAAGAUAAAUUUUUAGAAAUAAAUAAUAUUUUAUUAAUAAAAUAAUAUUAAAAUAUUAAUAUUUAGCCGGAUGUCGAAGUCAAUCAAGAAGGAGGAUCAUAUGGUUGAUCCAAAGUGGGGGAGAAAAUGACAAGCCCGACUCUACAGAAAUAUUUGUCAUGACAUACAUGUGGUGGAUAACAUGUUUACAUGCUAAGAAAGUCUUGAAAAAAUUUUCAAAAGUCGGUAUUGUACCUAGAGCUACAAUAAAGUUGAUUUAAGCCUCGAACUAGAUCAAAUAGAGAAUUCACGAUGAACUUAAGAAUUUUAAAGUCCCAGAAUGGUUUAAUAUGGUGAUUCGGAGUUCGAGGAUCAAUUUGGAGUCAAACCGGAAUUUUCGCUAUCUAGGGGCAAAAUGGUCAUUUGCCACCUGAGGACAAAAUGGAAAUUUUUAGAAAAGAUUUUUGGCCCCAUUUGACUUAUUGGAGUAAGAUUUGAGGUUUAGAAGUGAAAAAUUUUAAUUUCGGUAUAAUUUGGAGAAAAAGGGUAAAAUGGUAAUUUUGCCAUCCGAAAUCGAAAAUUUAAUUUUUGAAAGGAUUUUGAUCAAAUUUAAUUAUUUGGAGUGUGAAAUGAGUAUGAGGAGUGCAAAUUAUGCAUUAUGGCAAAUUUUCAAUUUUUGGGGCAAAAAUGUAAUUUUUGAAAAGUUCGGGGGCAAAAGUGUAAUUUUGAAAAAUUUGCUCCACCAAAACUUUGGAAAAAUCUGGAAAUUUCACUUAAGACUUGGAUAAGUCAAAGGGAAUGCAUGGUGGAAAAAGUAGGACAAAUGGAUGGCUAGAAAAAAAAAUGAAUUAAUAAAAUAUUUAAAAUAUGAAUAAAAUAAUAUUAUUUCAUUAAACAAUAAAAAAGGCAUAAAAAAAUCAGCCCACCCAUUCUUCUUCUUCAACAUUCGGCCAAGCAAGAAACAAGAGAGAGAAAGGAGAAAAUAAAACCCUAGCUAAGAAAUUUAAAGGGAAAAUAGGUGGAAAUUCAAAAAUCAAGUGAAAAAAGGUAACAUUUCUUAAAUUUGUCUUGUGCUUUACCUUUCCCAUGCAUUUUCCAUCAUUUUUCAUGGUUGAAUCAUGUGAUUUGAGGAUGAUUUCAAUUCUGGUCAUAUGGGUUUAGAGAGAGAAAGUUGUUAGAUAAAUUUGAUUUUGAGCUAUGUUAGUGUUUAGUGUUAGUUUAGCAUGUUUAUGAGUAAAACAACAAGAAAAAUAUUUAUCUUCUCCAUGAAUUUCUCUAGGCCGAAUCUAGCCAAUGGUAUGUGAGGAUGAGGUUGACUUUAUUUUAAGAGAAUUGGGUGGAAAAAUGAUGAAUUAUGAGGUUGGAAAUUAAAUGGGAAUUUUCGGUGCAAUAAAUUGAAAUUUUUACCCACUAGGGGUAAAAGCGUAAUUUAUAGUCCGGACUGAUAAAUUGGACCAAAUUCACAGUCAUUGAGGUAUUGUGGAUAUAAUUGGAUAAUUGAAAUUGAAAUGGAUGGAAUUGGAGUCGAAUUGGGGAUUUUAGGAAUUUACACCGUGUAUAGGCGAGUUAGGUCGGACACCGCAAUUAAGCGAUUGUCUAGACAUUUCAAAUCCUAUCUAGUGCAUACGCAUGGAUAAGAGCCUGAAAUAAUUUAUGAUAAAUUGACACAAUUUAUUGAAUUUUGUGUCAUGGAUUAUGGAUAGGUGGUGAGUCAAUUGUUUCGGGUAAGAGACUGCACCCGAGGGCGGAAGAUAGGAGUAUUUCUACUCCUAAUACUGUGAGUAAACUUAUUAUCGUCUUAAUUAUCUAGAGUAGUUUUAUACAACUGUGUGAUUUUAUGAAAAAUGGGUUUAAAUGGUAAAUUGCUAUGUUUUAAGAGAAAUUGUGAUUUUAUAAAAUGAUUUUAUAAAUUUUCUGGAAAAUCGAAUAUUGGUUUUGAAAAUAGAGUAAUUGGAGACUGCUAGUUUGUGUUGCAAAUUUAUGGUUUUGAAUUGAAUGGCUUAUGACAAUAAAUGAGCAUGAAUGGCUAAACUGAUUUUGGUGUUAGAAUUAUUUAUACUGUGUAUUCAGCCUUGAGAGGCUAGGUUGCGAUAAAUUGCCAUGUCAUGCUAGAAUGAAUUUUAUUGAUUGGUGGAUUAUAUAUUAAUUAUUUACUGCAGAGGGGGUUCCGUGGACCAGCCUAUUAGAGGGGCACGGUAAACUCCAUUAUAUUAUUACCUCGAACGGAGAGGCGCGUAGGGUAUCUCCUGGGGUAAAGCUUAGGGUUCACUUCACGCCAAACCACCACGUGAAGGGGAACUCAGCCAACGCCAAGGAAC